UACGAAGGGGGCUAGCGUUGUUCGGAAUUACUGGGCGUAAAGCGCGCGCAGGCGGUUUUCCAAGUCAGUGGUGAAAGCCCAGAGCUCAACUCUGGAACUGCCAUUGAAACUGUUAAACUAGAGGACGAGAGAGGUGAGUGGAAUUCCUAGUGUAGAGGUGAAAUUCGUAGAUAUUAGGAAGAACACCAGUGGCGAAGGCGGCUCACUGGUCCGGUGCUGACGCUGAGGUGCAAAAGCGUGGGGAGCAAACAGG
rnacentral:rRNA from 1 species